GCCGGCGUGGCGAAAUCGGUAGACGCAAGGGACUUAAAAUCCCUGCUCGCAAGGGGUGCGGGUUCGAGUCCCGCCGCCGGCACCA
rnacentral:tRNA from 1 species